CUGCCUCCCCCCUCUCCAGCCAAGGGUAAUGGGCCAUGGUGCCCUCCGAGUGUUGGCUCUCGCUGAGGCCACUGCAGUGGAAAAAGGCAUCGUCUAUGUUAUAAGUGCCCCCUCACCUCCUCCCUUGUCUUCUUACCUGCCAAGUCAACACCACAAUUCAGCAUCAGUGACUCCUCCUCCUCCUCCCCCUCUUCAUCCUUCUCCUCCUCCUCCUCCUCCUCCUCUCCUGUGCUCCCAGGGCAGAUGGAUUGCGCAAGUUAGGAGCGAGCUUUGUCUCGGGUGUCAGUGCGCUGUAAUUGGUGGCAGUUUAAGGUGUAAACAAGGUGCCAGUUCAGCGUGUAAUUGCCCCUGUUUGCGUAGGCCCUGGGAGAGAGAGAGAGAGAGAGACAGAGGAAGAGAAGGUGAGAGGGGGGUUGGGAAGAAGGAGAGAGGGGGGGGGGGGGGGGUGGAUGCCUGCCGGAGUGUGAGACCCCCGUUCGCUCGUCUGAAAAUUGGAGGCGCGGACAGCAGAAGGUGACGCGCAGCGAGUGAAGGCGACCGAGAGGCUCUGUGACAUCCUGCUCACUCCCCUUCCUCCUGGUCCUGAAGAGACACAAUUAAAGACCUAAGGAGAGAAGGAAAGGGGGAGAGAGAGAGAGAGAGCGAGAGAGAAAGAGUGGAAGGACUAGCUAGAGUGGAGGAGAGACAGGAAAAGGCUCUCACAAAGACUCAAGAAGUAGAGAGAAAAGUAAGGAAAAUAAAGAAGUAUAAAAAAAAAAUGAAAAUAAAGAAGGAUAAUAAAAAAAAACAGAGAAAGGUAGCUGUGUAGGAGAGAGAGGAGAGAUGCUGUCCAGUACUCAAAACAGAAAACACAAACAGCACUGCACAUAAUAAUACACAUAUGAGAAAGGAACUGUAGCCUUUGAAUAGAAGUAGACACACACACACGUAUACACACACAUGUGCACAGGGCACCUUCCCUGAGCGGAGGCUGUAUUUCCUGUCUCGUUAGGUGCACUGAGAGGGGGGUGGAGGGGGGGUCGCUCUACCCCACGGAGGGUGGCCAUGAUGCGUUUUACUGGGGAAACUCCCACACAGACCUUUACUGUGGGUGAUAUAUGGAGUAGGAGUUCCACCGCUCAUAAACACGCGACACAGUGUAUCACGGCCUGCUUUAGGACUCAAUGAUGACACCAUAAACAGCGAGACAUGUCAAUACUGGAGUAAGAAUAGGAGAUUUAGAGCGAGUGGGUUGGGGGAGAGGAGAGGUAGAUAAAAAAGAGAGGUUAGAUUUAUUUGUUUUGUCUGGGCCCUGUUUUUUUUUUUUGUUGCGGCGAAGCGUUUGUGUCCCGGGUGGCGGCGAGGCGUCUGUGAUUGGCAGGUGUGAUGCGUUUCCUGUGAGGGCAGGACACUGGAGAGGGUGGGGCAGUGUGUCGUUCAUCUCGCUUCUCACUCCGAGCGGUUCGCAAACACACAGACACACACACACACACACACACACACACAUCCCACUCAUCUAACAAACACACCCACACACGCCUAUCCUUGACUGUAGUGGAAGAGUGUGUGGGAGUCCAUCUGUACUUAUCUUAAGGCCCCUAAAUGGCCGUGCACUCUGCAGUGGACUCAGCCAGUGAGGAUGCCACCUUCUGUCUCACUCAGCUCAAAAUGUCUGCUGUCCCACUGUCCUCUGCACAUGUGUGUGUUGGCUUGUUUG
ensembl:lncRNA